GUUUCCUCACGGCUUCCUGAAUUGUCUUCACUUGGCCUUCCUGCAUUCGCUCAUUCUCUCCUCAUCUUCUCUUCUUUUCUCAUCUUUGAAUUCGUGUGCUCUGAUUUUCUCUCGUUCGCGCUCUCACCGCUUCCCCUUCUCACCACCUCCGCCGCUACCACGGAGGAAUUUCUGUAUUCUCUGUCCGCGACCCCGGCCGUGACAGGUCGACAUCUCUCCCCAGCUUGUCGCUCCGCGUAUAUCGAAUCGCCGUCCUCAGUCCUCACCAUCGUCAUCCAGCGCUGCUGCGGUGGAGGUGGCGGUGGUGGUGGUGGAGGCGGUGGUGGUAGCAGCGGCGACAAGCGGCGGCGAGUGGCGACACAGUGCCACCUCCUCGAUUCUAGGGAAUCGAGCGGUUGGUCGGUCGUGGAGAGCGCGAGAGGUGCGCGAGAAUGUCCGAGAGAGCGGCCUGAAAGCGCGGAUUAAUGUGUCGGUCGCGUUUACAAGACGUGAGGCGCGAGCGAGAACGAGAGAAAGAGCGAGAGAGCGAGAAAGCAAGAGAGAGAAAGAGAAAGAGAGCAAGCGAGAGAGAGAGAGAGAGAGAGAGAGAGAGAGAGAGAAUGAGAGAAUGAGCGAGUGUGCGUGAGUGGAGGAGGGGAGGGAGAGUGUUCACGAGCGCGCGCGCGGGGGUAGUCAGAGAAGCGCACGGCAUAGCGAGCGAGUUUAUUUUUAGUGGCAGAAGGUGAAGAAGGCGGGCGAAGAGCACCGCGCGGAGUGGUAUUAAGCGGCAGCACAGUGGCCCGAUGAAGCGGCGUAUGUGACAUCGGGUUUUCCUCUCUCUUGCCACCGUCGAGGAAGAAGAGACACCUCGCAGACAUCUUGCUGCCACCGUCCACGCCGUUGGUCCUCCAUUCACUUGGAGGCCAGUGGAGCAGAGACGCCAGAGAAUAAUACGAGCUGUGGUAGCCUUGCGGAAGCGCAAUAGUAGUUGGCUUCGGCCAACAGAGGCGACAAGGAUAUCAUGGCGACGAUAGACGGCCGGCCGGCCCAAUAUGGUGUCACGCUUAAGCAACUCCGUGAGCUCAUGGAGCUCCGGGGUCGCGAAGGUGUCAACAAGAUCAAUGGCUACGGUGGUGUGCAGGAGAUUUGUAAAAAGCUGUAUACUUCACCCAAUGAAGGUCUUAGUGGAUCAGCAGCGGAUAUACAACAUAGGCGAGAUACAUUUGGUUCCAAUAUGAUACCUCCAAAGCCACCAAAAACAUUUUUACAGUUAGUAUGGGAAGCAUUGCAAGAUGUCACGUUAAUCAUCUUAGAAGUAGCAGCAUUGGUUUCAUUAGGUCUUAGCUUUUAUCAACCUGCUGAUGAUGAGGAAAAAGAAGUUGUGAGUGUAGAUGAGGACGAAGCGAAAUACGGUUGGAUUGAAGGACUCGCUAUAUUGAUUUCUGUAAUUGUGGUGGUAUUAGUGACGGCGUUUAAUGACUAUUCCAAGGAGAGACAGUUUAGAGGUCUUCAAAGUCGGAUAGAGGGAGAACACAAGUUCUCGGUUAUACGGCAAGGAGAAGUGAAACAAAUCUCCGUAUCUGACAUUGUUGUGGGUGACAUUUGUCAGAUAAAAUAUGGAGACCUGUUGCCUGCAGACGGUAUUCUUAUACAAAGCAACGAUCUCAAAGUGGAUGAAUCCAGUCUGACUGGAGAGUCAGAUCAUGUAAAGAAAGGGGAAGCAUUCGAUCCUAUGGUACUUUCAGGUACGCACGUGAUGGAGGGUUCCGGAAAAAUGUUAGUUACUGCAGUAGGUGUUAAUUCCCAAGCGGGUAUUAUCUUUACCUUACUGGGUGCUGCUGUUGAUCAACAGGAACAAGAAAUCAAGAAAAUGAAGAAAGAGGCUAAAAAGCAGCGGAAGAAGAAGUCAUUACCAGGAGAGGAGUCGGUAGAGAUUACCGGGAACAGUCACGUGACGGGAAGCGGCGGCGGAGGCGGUGGAGGUGGCGGCGGUGGCGGUGGCGGCGGUGUGUGUGGCAAGCACGAGGGCGGCGAGAAUCAUCACGCGGCCGCACCCGCGAGCGCCGGGGAGAGCGGGAAGAAAGAAAAGAGUGUUCUGCAAGCCAAGCUAACUAAACUCGCCAUACAGAUCGGUUACGCCGGCUCGACCAUCGCGGUGCUCACAGUCGUCAUUCUAGUCAUACAGUUCUGCGUGACGACCUUCGUCAUAGAGGGCAAGCCGUGGCGAAACACGUACGCCGGUGAUCUGGUGCGGCAUUUGAUCAUCGGUGUCACGGUGCUCGUAGUCGCCGUACCCGAGGGUCUUCCUCUAGCCGUCACCUUGUCACUUGCUUAUUCCGUCAAGAAAAUGAUGAAGGACAACAAUCUGGUGCGUCAUUUGGAUGCCUGCGAAACGAUGGGUAACGCCACCGCCAUUUGCUCGGACAAGACCGGCACCCUGACCACGAACCGCAUGACCGUGGUACAGUCGUAUAUAUGCGAGAAGAUGUGCAAGACAACGCCGAAUUUCUCGGACAUACCGAGCCACAUCGGCGAGUUGAUCCUGCAGGCCAUCUCAAUCAAUUCGGCGUACACGUCGCGGAUAAUGGAGUCGCCGGACCCUACUGAAUUGCCGUUACAGGUUGGCAACAAAACCGAAUGUGCCUUACUUGGAUUCGUAUUAGCCCUGGGCAAGAAAUAUCAAACUGUGCGGGACGACUAUCCUGAGGAAACCUUUACGCGGGUGUAUACGUUUAAUAGCGUAAGAAAGAGCAUGUCUACCGUUAUCCCUAGAAAGGGUGGUGGAUUCAGGCUCUUCACCAAGGGCGCUUCCGAGAUCAUCAUGAAGAAAUGUGCCUUUAUAUAUGGUCGCGAGGGUCAUCUGGAGACGUUUACCAGAGAUAUGCAAGAACGUCUAGUAAAGAACGUGAUCGAACCUAUGGCAUGCGACGGGCUGCGUACCAUCUCCAUCGCUUAUCGCGAUUUUGUUCCUGGCAAGGCGGAGAUCAAUCAAGUUCACAUCGACAACGAGCCCAAUUGGGACGACGAGGAUAAUCUAGUGAACAACCUCACCUGCCUGUGCAUCGUCGGUAUCGAGGAUCCGGUGCGUCCCGAGGUACCGGAUGCGAUCAAAAAAUGCCAAAAGGCCGGCAUCACUGUGCGCAUGGUUACGGGUGACAAUAUAAACACCGCGCGAUCCAUCGCGCUCAAGUGUGGUAUCCUGAAGCCGAACGAAGACUUCCUCAUUCUGGAGGGCAAGGAGUUCAAUCGCAGGAUCAGAGACAGCAGUGGCGAGGUACAGCAACAUUUGCUGGACAAAGUGUGGCCAAAAUUGCGAGUAUUGGCCAGAUCGUCUCCCACCGACAAGUACACCUUGGUGAAAGGCAUCAUUGACAGCAAGGCGACCGAAAGUCGCGAGGUCGUGGCGGUAACCGGCGAUGGCACGAACGACGGUCCGGCUUUGAAGAAGGCCGAUGUCGGUUUUGCCAUGGGUAUCGCCGGCACGGACGUCGCCAAAGAAGCGUCCGACAUCAUACUGACAGACGAUAAUUUCUCGUCGAUCGUGAAGGCGGUUAUGUGGGGCAGAAACGUCUACGAUAGCAUCGCCAAGUUUCUGCAAUUCCAACUGACCGUCAAUGUGGUCGCCGUGAUCGUCGCUUUCAUCGGUGCUUGUGCCGUGCAGGACUCGCCGCUUAAGGCGGUGCAAAUGUUGUGGGUAAACCUAAUCAUGGACACAUUAGCGUCCCUCGCCUUGGCCACCGAAUUGCCUACGCCCGAUCUACUCCUCCGUAGACCGUACGGUCGCACAAAACCACUCAUUUCCAGGACAAUGAUGAAAAAUAUUCUCGGUCAGGCCUUUUAUCAGUUGGGUGUAAUUUUCACACUUCUUUUCGCCGGUGAUCUGAUGCUCGACAUCGACACGGGUCGCGGAGUGGCGGCGGCAGGCGGCGGGCCCACACAACACUUCACCGUCAUCUUCAACACGUUCGUCAUGAUGACUCUCUUCAACGAAUUCAACGCUAGGAAAAUUCAUGGUCAACGCAAUGUCUUCCAGGGAAUAUUCACCAACCCCAUCUUCUAUACGAUUUGGAUCUGCACGUGUUUCGCGCAAGUGUUUAUCAUACAAUACGGUAAAAUGGCAUUCAGCACCAGAGCGCUCACGUUAGACCAGUGGUUGUGGUGCCUGUUCUUCGGAAUCGGUACGCUAAUAUGGGGCCAAAUAGUUACGACUAUUCCUACACGCCGAAUUCCCAAAAUUCUUUCAUGGGGCCGCGGCCAGCCGGAUGAUAUCGGUGCGAUCAAUCUAGGAGAUGAGAAAUUCGACCCCGACUCGGAUAAAAAGCCGCGCGCAGGACAAAUUCUAUGGAUCCGUGGUCUAACACGGCUACAAACACAGACGAGCAAUAGAACUCUGGUGCAGAAUGUAUCUGUGACAGGCAGAUCCCCUUCUCAGGAUUACUACAUGCCAGCGGAACCCAUUCGAGAGACUGAGGUAUAACGGGGCGGCAGUUUUGCCCGCCGCCACACUUAUCCUGUCGGAGUACAAACAAAUUCGCGUAGUGAACGCAUUUCGGCAGGGCCUAGACACGCGCUACGGCGAGCACAGCAGCACCACCCUGGCG
rnacentral:misc_RNA from 1 species